UGUCACUGCAAGUGAGGGGUUUCACUGCCAGGCAGAGCGUGGGCAUCAGGGAAAGGCUGGGGGUCAGGGAAAGUUUGGGGAUCAGGGAAGGGUUGGGGAUCAAGGGAAGGUUUGGGAUCAGGGAAAGGCUGGGGAUCAGGGAAGGGUUGGGGAUCAGGGAAGGGUUGGAGAUCAGGGAAGGGUUGGGGAUCAAGGAAAGGUUUGGGAUCAGGGAAAGGUUUGGGAUCAGGGAAGGGUUGGGGAUCAAGGAAAGGUUUGGGAUCAGGGAAAGGUUUGGGAUCAGGGAAGGGUUGGGGAUCAAGGAAAGGUUUGGGGUCAGGGAAAGGUUUGGGGUCAGGGAAGGGUUGGGGAUCAGGGAAAGGCUGGAUUUUGGUCCUCUUCCCCAGAGGGUGCUGGCACUGCCCAGGCUCCCCAGGGAAUGGGCACGGCCCCGAGGCUGCCAGAGCUCCAGGAGAGUUUGGACACCACUCCAGGGAUGCCCAGGGUGGGAUUUUGGCCUGGGGUUGGAUCAGUGAUGCCCGUGGGUCCCUUCCAGCUGAGGAUAUUCUGUGAUUUGGCAGGAUCACGGCGUGGUUUGGGUUGGAAGGGACCUUGGUGUCCAUGUCACCCCAACCCCUUCCACCCGCCCAGGCUGCUCCAAGGCUGCUGCGCUGUUCAAGGUGAGAAGCAGCAGAGCAGAGUUACUGCCCAGCUCUCGGGGUGCCCCGGGCAGAUCACUUUGGAUCUCUCUGAUUCCAGCCUGGCGUGUUCAGGAAGUUUUCCAUACUCCCUCCUCUCUCACCUGUGUUUCCAGUGAGAUAGCUGGUGCUGAUGCAAAGAAGAAAAAUACAUUCAAAGCUCUCCUUGCCCAUUCUGCCCAGAGAUGAACAUUUCCAUUCCCACUGACAGGCUGCAGUGUGAACUACAUGCUAAGCUGAUAGUUGGUUUCUCAUUUUUCACAUCUUGUGAUUUCUUCUUCAGGAGUAGACUGAUUUCCUUGGGAGGGUGGAAGGAUAG
rnacentral:lncRNA from 1 species